rnacentral:rRNA from 1 species
GACGAACGCGGCGGCGUGCCUAAUACAUGCAAGUAGAACGCUGAAGGAGGAGCUUGCUCUUCUGGUGAGUUGCGAACGGGUGAGUAACGCGUAGGUAACCUGCCUGGUAGCGGGGGAUAACUAUUGGAAACGAUAGCUAAUACCGCAUAAGAGUAGAUGUUGCAUGACAUUUGCUUAAAAGGUGCAAUUGCAUCACUACCAGAUGGACCUGCGUUGUAUUAGCUAGUUGGUGAGGUAACGGCUCACCAAGGCGACGAUACAUAGCCGACCUGAGAGGGUGAUCGGCCACACUGGGACUGAGACACGGCCCAGACUCCUACGGGAGGCAGCAGUAGGGAAUCUUCGGCAAUGGACGGAAGUCUGACCGAGCAACGCCGCGUGAGUGAAGAAGGUUUUCGGAUCGUAAAGCUCUGUUGUAAGAGAAGAACGAGUGUGAGAGUGGAAAGUUCACACUGUGACGGUAUCUUACCAGAAAGGGACGGCUAACUACGUGCCAGCAGCCGCGGUAAUACGUAGGUCCCGAGCGUUGUCCGGAUUUAUUGGGCGUAAAGCGAGCGCAGGCGGUUAGAUAAGUCUGAAGUUAAAGGCUGUGGCUUAACCAUAGUACGCUUUGGAAACUGUUUAACUUGAGUGCAAGAGGGGAGAGUGGAAUUCCAUGUGUAGCGGUGAAAUGCGUAGAUAUAUGGAGGAACACCGGUGGCGAAAGCGGCUCUCUGGCUUGUAACUGACGCUGAGGCUCGAAAGCGUGGGGAGCAAACAGG